rnacentral:siRNA from 1 species
UGAGACCAAUUGAGGUAUUCUA